rnacentral:rRNA from 1 species
CUACGGGUCGCUCCAGUGGGGAAUAUUGGACAAUGGGGGAAACCCUGAUCCAGCAAUGCCGCGUGUGUGAAGAAGGCCUGCGGGUUGUAAAGCACUUUCGGUUGGGAGGACUGCUUCUAGCACUAAUAUUGUUGGAAGUUGACGUUACCUUCAGAAGAAGCACCGGCUAACUCCGUGCCAGCAGCCGCGGUAAUACGGAGGGUGCAAGCGUUAAUCGGAAUUACUGGGCGUAAAGCGCGCGUAGGCGGCUAGAUCAGUCGGGUGUGAAAGCCCCGGGCUUAACCUGGGAACUGCAUCCGAUACUGGCUAGCUUGAGUACAGGAGAGGAGAGUGGAAUUCCACAUGUAGCGGUGAAAUGCGUAGAUAUGUGGAGGAACACCAAUGGCGAAGGCAGCUCUCUGGCCUGAUACUGACGCUGAGGUGCGAAAGCGUGGGGGGCAAACAGGAUUAGAUACCCCGGUAGUC